UAGGGAAUCUUCGGCAAUGGACGGAAGUCUGACCGAGCAACGCCGCGUGAGUGAAGAAGGUUUUCGGAUCGUAAAGCUCUGUUGUAAGAGAAGAACGAGUGUGAGAGUGGAAAGUUCACACUGUGACGGUAUCUUACCAGAAAGGGACGGCUAACUACGUGCCAGCAGCCGCGGUAAUACGUAGGUCCCGAGCGUUGUCCGGAUUUAUUGGGCGUAAAGCGAGCGCAGGCGGUUAGAUAAGUCUGAAGUUAAAGGCUGUGGCUUAACCAUAGUAGGCUUUGGAAACUGUUUAACUUGAGUGCAAGAGGGGAGAGUGGAAUUCCAUGUGUAGCGGUGAAAUGCGUAGAUAUAUGGAGGAACACCGGUGGCGAAAGCGGCUCUCUGGCUUGUAACUGACGCUGAGGCUCGAAAGCGUGGGGAGCAACAGGAUUAGAUACCCUGGUAGUCCACGCUGUAAACGAUGAGUGCUAGGUGUUAGACCCUUUCCGGGGUUUAGUGCCGUAGCUAACGCAUUAAGCACUCCGCCUGGGGGGUACGACCGCAAGGUUG
rnacentral:rRNA from 1 species